UACCAGACUCCUACGGGAGGCAGCAGUGGGGAAUAUUGCACAAUGGGGGAAACCCUGAUGCAGCGACGCCGCGUGAGGGAAGAAGGUUUUCGGAUUGUAAACCUCUGUCUUUGGUGACGAAAGAUGACGGUAGCCAAAGAGGAAGCUACGGCUAACUACGUGCCAGCAGCCGCGGUAAUACGUAGGGGGCAAGCGUUAUCCGGAUUUACUGGGUGUAAAGGGAGCGUAGACGGCAGCGCAAGUCUGAAGUGAAAUCCCAUGGCUUAACCAUGGAACUGCUUUGGAAACUGUGCAGCUGGAGUGCAGGAGAGGUAAGCGGAAUUCCUAGUGUAGCGGUGAAAUGCGUAGAUAUUAGGAGGAACACCAGUGGCGAAGGCGGCUUACUGGACAGUAACUGACGUUGAGGCUCGAAAGCGUGGGGAGCAAACAGGAUUAGAUACCCCCGUAUC
rnacentral:rRNA from 1 species